rnacentral:lncRNA from 1 species
AUGCUUUCCAGCAAUACAAUUAUGGAAAUUUUUUUCCUCUCUCAUAUUGACAUUGGGAUUUGGAGGAACUUACUGCUACUCCUGAUGCCUAUUUACACCUUUUUGAUAUGUCCCCAGCAGAAGAAGCCCAUGGGCUUGCUUUUCCUUCACUUGUCUGUUGCUAAUACGAUGACACUUCUCCGCAAAGUUAUUCCAUUGGCAGUAAAAUCUUUCAACACUAAAAAUCUUUUGAAUUAUACUGGAUGUAGGGAAUUUGAAUUUUUAUAUAGAGUAUCUUGGGGACUUCCCCUAUGUACGACAUACCUCCUAAGCAUGGUGCAGGCCCUCCGUGGGAGCCCCAGCAAAUCCAGGUGGACGUGGCUGAAAGACAAAAUGCUCAAAACACCACUGUGCUUCUUCUUACACUCUGGGUCAUCAACAGUCUCAUCUACAUCAAGCUUGUGCCAUUUGUUGACACUAUCAAAUAUGGCAGUGUCACCAAGAAUCUCUCCAUAAAAAUGUGUUUAGCUACACCACACAUGGGCAACACAAUUGCUGUCUCUCAUACGAGUGUUAUCACAUUCCAGGACUUAAUUUUUCUGGUUCUCAUGAGUUGAGCCAGUGGCUACUUGGUGAUUUUCCUUCACAGACACCAGAAAAAUAAUCCACAUCUUCACAACAACAGCUGUUCCUCUAUAGCCUCCCAUGAGACCGGAACCAUCACGACUGCGCUGCUGCUUAUGAUUUGCUUCGUUGUAUUUAAUGUGAGCAACUCGUGCCACAGCAUUUACCUAAGUACGGUGAAGAAAAGGGAUCAGUUGUGGACCAUCUCAGAUUUGAUUUCCUCAUGUUACCCCAUUUUUUGGUCCAUUUUUGCUCAUUGGUAGAGAAAGUCUUAUCCUGAAUUCAAAAUCUAUGAAGUAGAGAAAGUCGUCUUAUCCCAUAGAUAUGUCAAAGUAAACUUUC